CACUGUUCACACGCUGGAUUUUUUUUUCGACUGUUACAGUCGAUUCCGGAAACAUGUUUCCGGAAACAUAUUUCCACCCGGAGGGGCUCCGGGUGGAAAUAUGUUUCCGGAGUUUUUUUUGAGACCGUUGGGCACGGUCGCGUCUUCCCCUCGUCUCGCCUCGCAUAGCUUCCCAGAGAUCUUGCAAGGCAGCUGCUGCUGCGCCCUUGUCGCACCCUCCCUUCCCUUCCUCCUGCGGUGGAGCGUCUUGCAUAGGGCUUCACACACACUGUCGGUUACGCCUGGUUCUGCUCCCUUUCCAUCGUCAUCCUCGUUCCUGCCAAGAUCUGGAAGAUGCAGCAUAUCAUUCUUCUGAUGCGUUAGGCGAUGCGUAGCCACCAUAGCUUCCUGUUAAGUGGAAACUACUGGCUGAAAUUUGACUAUUUGCGGCGGAAUUUGGUUCCCUUCUUGGCCAUGUAGAGUGACUAGGUUGUUCAUUGACUCAUGCCCUUCCUUGUUCUUUAUAACCUUAGUUGAUCUUUGUGCUUACAAAUCCACAUGGUGGUUGACUUUUGAUCAUCUGUUGGACAAGUCCUCUUGAUGGCAAUUCUACUAACUACUGUCUACGUUUACAGAAAAGCUGUGGUCUGAUGUAUUAUGUGGUGAAACUUGAUGAUUUCGUAGAAAUAUGUAACUUGGAUACUUUCUGUAUAGUGUACAUUCUUAGUUGGCUUCAAAUUUGUAAAGGAUGGAGCAUCUUUGUGAUUGACGUACGCUAGAAUGCUGAAAUCAGAUGUUGACUUACUAACUGCAUUCCCCAUGUACACUUCAGUGUUAAUGUUACAGUUGGGAUUUUAGAAGAUAAGCUAAUGCUUACUGGUUUA